rnacentral:rRNA from 1 species
AACGAACGCUGGCGGCAUGCUUAACACAUGCAAGUCGAACGGGCUUGUAAGGCUUGCCUUACAAGUUAGUGGCAGACGGGUGAGUAACGCGUGGGAAUGUACCUUUUGGCUCGGAAUAACUACGGGAAACUGUGGCUAAUACCGGAUAAGCCCGCAAGGGGAAAGAUUUAUCGCCAAAAGAGCAGCCCGCGUUAGAGUAGGUAGUUGGUAGGGUAAUGGCCUACCCAGCCUGCGAUCCAUAUCUGGUCUGAAAGGAUGAUCAGCCACACUGGGACUGAGACACGGCCCAGACACCUUCGGGAGUCAGCAGUGGGGAAUAUUGGACAAGGGGCGCAAGCCUGAUCCAGCCAUGGCGCGUGAGUGAUGAAGGCCUUAGGGUUGUAAAGCUCUUUCGACCGGGACGAUAAUGACGGUACCGGAAGAAGAAGCCCCGGCUAACUUCGUGCCAGCCGCCGCCGUAAGAC